rnacentral:misc_RNA from 1 species
GAUGAAGAACGUAGUGAAAUGCGAUAAGUAGUGUGAAUUGCAGAAUUCAGUGAAUCAUCGAAUCUUUGAACGCACAUUGCGCCCUUUGGUAUUCCGAAGGGCAUGCCUGUUCGAGCGUCAUUAUCACCCCUCAAGCCCCGGCUUGGUGUUGGGCUCUCGGUGGUCGUCUCCGACCACCCGUCUCAAAGAUAGUGACGGCGUCCCAGAGGGAACCGGUACGAGGAGCUUUCACGAGCAUGUACGCGGGACGACUCUGCGGGCGACGGUCUUAUUUACUUUAUAUACAAGUGUUGACCUCGGAUCAGGUAGGAAUACCCGCUGAACUUAAGCAUAUCAAUAAGCGGAGGA